rnacentral:rRNA from 1 species
UUCGAUCGAAGGAACAAUCAGGAUAUAUCGGAUUGGGCAAACAAACACCGUGCGUGGAUAGAAAUUUGGAAUCAAAGAGACACGUUAGUGCAAUCAGAGAAUAGACCUCACAAUCAGUCAGCAUAUCAGAAGUACCAAGUGUGGUAUGUGGAUCGUUACCGGUUAAAGCUGAAGCCUGGUUGGACUCAUGAGGAGUGGUCGGAGUUGGUGUCUGAAGACCCGGAGACUGCACAAGGUUAUCAAACCUUCAACAUGGCUGUGAGAGACACCAGAGGGGCUCACGUUGACUAUGCACCGAUGCAUGAUGAAAUGGUAGUCUGUUUGACCUAUUCUAACAUACUUGCAUCAUGUUGUCUUCUUUCAAAUACAUAA